CUUGAUCCUUUCGCAUUGCAUGUCUAUAGACGUUGGUGAAAUUCCACAUUCACCCGGCUCACAAUGAGGUGUUUGUUUAUCUAUUUCGAGCAUUUUUAAGUAGAUUUUAUUAUAAUAAACAUUUUUGAAAGGUUUACAUUUUUGACGAUUAUGUGGUUCAAGUGUAAAAUUAUUUUAUUGGGAGUAUGUAUAGUUGAAAAUGAGUACAAAAAAAGGAGUUUUAAGGAAUUUGUAUCAAAAAUUUCUUUAUCUUUAAUCGACUUUAACAUGCCCUUACCUCACUUCUAUGAGAUCAUUAAUUUUGAAACUCAAUUGCUUGUUUGAGCUAUAUAUGGAUCGACUAGCUAGAUUGAGCAUAUUGUACUGUAAUACCAUGUUAAGUCCUAGUUAGUAAAGAAGAGUAGUCUAAUCUCUUACAUUUUUAUUUAUUUCUAUCAAAAAUCUAGGAUACGACAUUUCAAUUUGAAUAAAUAUGAUAGAUACUCGAAUAUCUUUUACAUUGAUAUGUUUAUUUUUUCUUAUUCUCUACAAUAGUUUAGCUUUCUAUGGACAUCCUUUGAAAUCAACGAAAUAAAAUAUUUAUCAGGGCUAAUAAACCUCUUGGUUCUCAAGCUUUUCGUUGGAAAUUAGCUCCAUUUCCCCUCUAUUUUCUUGAAUAAAAAUAGAGCUUCAUUUCAACCUAAGCCCUCUGCCGAUUCCAGCCUAUUUCUCCUCUAUUUUUUGAAUCAAAAAUAGAAUUUUUUUCGAAGUAUUAUUUCAUCUUUUUCACCGUUGAUCUCCAAAAAAAA
rnacentral:lncRNA from 1 species